CUCAAACUCAGUCCGUUACAAAGCUAAGGAUAAAUACCUAAGAUGGUGUUCUGUUGUAACAAAGACAUCUGUAACCCUAUAUAUUUGAGACUCUCUGUUCAAACUCUUCUCUCUUUUAAUGGCAAAGCUCUCACCUAUCUUUUAUCUUCUUCUUGCCCUCCUGGUUGUCACCUCAGUUGAGAAGAUGGGGUCCGCGGAUGAUGCAAGGAACUGUGAAUACAAACCUUUAGGGGACUGCAAAAGCGAAAGAGAAUGCCAAUUGCGGUGUACACCAAAGUACCCAUCUAGCAAGGGGAUUUGUGACACUUCAUAUUCCUUUGAAGUAUGUUUAUGCAAAAUUUGCUGAUGUAUGUUUAUGCAAAAUUUGUUGAUGGAGUGAAUGAUGCCUUUAAAUGGAAGUAGUAGGGCUUAUGUUAUGUCCUCCUCAUCUUAAUACUCUAAUAGAUUAAUAAGAGGACUAUGAUCAUUUAAUUUAA